CCUACGGGUGGCAGCAGUGAGGAAUAUUGGUCAAUGGGCGCGAGCCUGAACCAGCCAAGUCGCGUGAAGGAUGAAUGCCCUACGGGUUGUAAACUUCUUUUAUAAGGGAAUAAAGUGAGGCAAGUGUACCUUUUUGUAUGUACUUAAUGCAUACGGAUCGGCUAACUCCGUGCCAGCAGCCGAGGUAAUACGGAGGAUACGAGCGUUAUCCGGAUUUAUUGGGUGUAAAGGGAGCGUAGAUGGGUUGUUAAGUCAGUUGUGAAAGCUUGCGGCUCAACCGUAAAAUUGCAAUUGAUACUGGCAGUCUUGAGUACAGUAGAGGUAGGCGGAAUUCGUGGUGUAGCGGUGAAAUGCUUAGAUAUCACGAAGAACACCGAUUGCGAAGGCAGCUUACUAAACUGCCACUGACAUUGAUGCUCGAAAGUGUGGGUAUCAAACAGGAUUAGAUACCCCUGUAGUC
rnacentral:rRNA from 1 species